AGCUGGGCUUCAGACCCUGUGCAUUUAACCACAAGGCUGUAACUGCCUGCUUCUGGGGCUGCUCUUGGGGAAGAAAGAAUUCAAGAAAACCCACCAACCAACCCCCUACAUGUAACAGACUCUGCAAGGGUUAUAACAGAGGCAGGGCCUGGCAUGACUCAACCCAACCUGGUUGGAUGAAUGACACAUUGGCAGGUGGCAAAGCCCACAGAGGAUGGACCCUGAAGGAAGCUACAGAUCUUCGAGCCUUGUCACAACGUUGGGACUUGAGCCCACAGGUUAGGGGGGUUACAUGGGCAGGUCAUGCUCGCUGUGUGUGACCGUCACAGAGGAGCUCAAGAGCAAGCUUUUUGAACACAGAGAGCUUAAGAUGAAGACUCCUGUGCUUUUCCAGAGUGCCACGUGGUCACGUCAAGGCGGCCGGCUCCAUGGUCAUCAAGCCCAGGCCCACAUCCCAGCUCUCUGCACACCAACUCCUGGCCCAGGAGAGGAAGGGGCCUUACGGGCGACACUCAUGCUUUCUGGUGGUUGAGAUUGGGAAGGAGCCAACGCCACAGCAGUGACUUGGGUCUGAGCUGCCACAUGCUGACCCAGCUCUGACUCCCUCUGGGAACCACUCAGCCUGAGGCCAACAGAACCAGAGCCAGAACAGAGGGACCCAGCUCCGUGAAACACCUACUCCCCAGGGUGGAACCAGAAGCUCACCCCAGGGCAUCCCUAUAAGAAUGACGGUGUGAGGCCCACAUUUCCUCAGGACGUCAGUGGUGGGCGGGCUUCACACGCCUUUCUGCUUCACAACUGCCCUUCGAAGGAUGGAUCAUUAGCUGCUUUUCUUUUCUUUUUUAAAAUCUUAUUUUAUUCUGUGGCCGCACUGGUGACACACUGAAGUUCCCAGGGCAGGGACUGAAGCCAAGCUGCAGCUGCGACCUAUGCCAGAUCCUUUAACCCACUGCGCCUAGCUGAAGAUUGAACCCGCGCCUCUGCAGCAAUCUGAGCUACUGCAGUCAGAUUCUUAACCCACCAUGCCAGAGCAGAAACUCCAACUUUUGGCGUUCCCAUCGUGGCUCAGUGCUUAACGAACCCAACUAGUAUCCAUGAGGACGUGGGUUCGGUCCCUGGCCUUGCUCAGUGGCUUAAUGAUCCGGUGUUGCCAUGAGCUAUGGGGUAGGUCACAGAAGCAGCCCAGAUGCAGCAUGGCUGUGGCUGUGCUGCAGGCUGGCAGCUACAGCUCUGACUUGACCCCUAGCCUGGGAACUUUCAUAUGCCGCUGCUGUGGCUCUAAAUAGACAAACAACAACAAUGACAACAAAACUCCAACUUUUAUUUACUUUCACUUACCUUCUUUGAAAAAAUUGCAGUUAGAUGUUAAGGCUCAAAGCGGUCACUGGCUUAGGAUUACUCUUAUGGACUGAACUAUGUCCCCCUGCCGCCCCGGCAAAUUCACAUGCUAAAGCACCCCCCCACCAUCCGCCAGUGUGACUGUGUUUGGAGACAGGGUCUUUAAAGAAGUAAUUAAGGGUGGGACCCUAAUCCAGUAGGGCUGGUGACCUUAUAAGAACAGGGGAUGACACCAGACAUGUGUACACAGGAGAGGCCACUGAGGAUUGGGAGAAGGCGGCCGUCUCUAAGUCAAGGAGAGAGGCCUCAGGAGAGACAAAACCUGCCGCCACCUCGAUUUUGGACCUGCAGCCUCUAGAACUGUGGGAAAAUUAAUUUCUGUUGUCUAAACCAAUCUGUCUGUGGUAUUUCAUUAUGGCAGCCUGAGCUGACCUGAGCUAAGAGUGACAUAGUUAAGCAGUGCCCUGGUGUGAAUGUACACACCUGGGGCCAACAGGAUUAACUUCGGUCUUUGUUUCAAUGAUCUCAGGCUGGCCUUCAGAUUUUGGAUGCCAAUCUUAUUAGCUAUAGCUAUAUAAUAAAGAAUCUGAUUGGCUUCUGUCUCUGGUUCCU
rnacentral:lncRNA from 1 species